AGUGGAUUAGUGUAAAGGUUAACAUUUUUGGCUCAUAACCAAAAGAUUAGGGUUCAAUUCCUUAAUCCGCAA
rnacentral:tRNA from 1 species